CAGGAAGGAAGUGGGCCCCUUCUCCCUUCCUCCAGAGUCACCAUGUGAUCCCGGCAUGAGGAUGCCAAUGGAAGGCAGCCUAAAUAAGAUAAGUCUUAUAAAAUAUACAGAUUUAUGAUAAUUAAGACUGAGCUAACAGAUGAGAAAUCCUAGUCAUUGGCCAAGCAGCAUUUGUACCUAAUAUAAGUCUCUGUGUAUUAUCUGGGGCCCUAACUCGGCAGGCAGAAAUCAGGUGGCUGGCGGAAACCACCCACGUGGCGGUAGGGCUCGGGUGGCUUUUGGUGGAAAGACUUAUCGUAACACCAAUUGUUUGUGAUUUUUGUGCUUAUAAACCCUGCUUCUGCCCUGGCUUGGGCUUUCAGGAGUAAGGAGGCUCCAAAGUCCUUGUCCUGCAGCCCCGAUCCAUCGUGACCUGUUUAUGUGAACCAAUAAGUGUCUCUCUCCUUGCCCAUGGCGCAUAACAGGCUAGGUGUAGCAAUGCUUUAAAAUGUAAGUACACCAAGGCAAACAGGAAGUUAGUAUGGAUGCAGAGAGGUAGGUAAACUGGAAUAUGGUAUGAAACUAACUGAAGUACUCGUAGGUAGUGAAGAGUGUUGGUUGAUGUGCUUCUCUGUUAACAAAAUGCAUCCUGACCACCUCUCGGUGCUUCAGAACAAUGCCUGAUGUGUUCAUCGUUAUUACGGGCACACCACUAAUUGCUCACCACCUCUUAUCCAUGCGUCUCCCUCAAUGCACCACUUCUCUGGCUAGACCAUCAUACAGCCUACCUCCAGUGUUCUCCAACUCUUAAGACUCUGAACAUAAUUGCUUCACAACAAUUUUUGUUACAUCAUUUGCUGUGUUCAGCUUGUUUUUCUAAAAAUGCACGGCAUCAAAUAUUAUCAGAGUUCCUAGUAAUUAUUGGCGUCCAUGUGUAAACCAAGGGCCUGGAAGAGUGAGUAGAGCCAUGGCCACCAAAACAGAGUGUUAGAAACCGUUCCUACCUGAACCAGGAGGGAUACUCUCCCUCAGUAAGAUGGAAGCGGUGACUUGUCACAAUUGUAACAUUUAAUUCUCUAAAAAAAAUUCAGUAAAUUAUCACUCUUUCCAUCUACCCAUUAGUAAAUGAAAACUCCUACAGUUAAGGCAUUCUACAAAUGCUCACAUCUGAUAUGAAAUGGGGUGGAAGCCAGAUGCCAGGCCUACUUGAGGAUAAACCCAUGUCACUUCCCACCAGGUUACACAAUAUUGAUUGCUUUAGAUUUAUCUUAUUAGUCUUUAAAACCUGCACAUGCCUGUGUGUUUCUGUGUGGGUAUGAGCACACAUGUGCCGGUGCUCAGAGAUGGAGGCCUCGAAUUUCCCAGAGCUGCAGGUCCAGGCAGUUGUUAUUUGUCCCAUAUAUGCAGUGACAACCGAACUCCUGACCUCUGGAAAAAGCAGUGCAUUCUCUUAACCACUGAGCUAUCUCUCCAGCCCCAUUGUAUCAAUUUUUCAUGUGUCAAAGCAUGGAAAACAAAAAGUAGCCGAAAACAAAAAGAAACCGGAGGUAUAGAAGGAUCACUGGUUUUUACUGUAUGUUAACACACAUAAAAAUUAUGUCUCGGAGUUCUGGUGUCUUAUUUCAUGCAGGGCAUGGUAGGUUUUCCUGCACAUCCUUGAUGGGGCUUGGCACUGCCUGAACUUAGGCUUAUUAGCUCUGCUGAUGAGGUCAUCAGGUGCUAAGGGAUCCCAACUCUGGCACUGUGAUUUCAGAGACUCCAAGUAGGUUGUAAAAAUGUGAGCCAAGAUCACAAGAAUCUUGUUAACAAGGAGAUGUUGACACAUGAAACAUCAGCAAAGGAGACAAGAUAGCAAGUAAAUGAACACACUGCUUGGUGACAAUGCUCAGAAGGGAGAGCAGGAAGAAAGGCAGGUCCUUGGUUCUCACAAUCCACCACUCACCACUUGCUGACUCUUUUGUUGUCCAACUGGUUAAAUCCACACUCAAGAUGAAGGUCCUCAUUCUACAACAAGUCCUUAUCACUCAGCUACAUGCAAGUAGUCGUCACUUCCCAGGAGACUGGCUCAGUUUCUUGUUGUAUCUGCUGGUGAGAAACCCCAAUGCAGGGAUUAGCAGACAAAGCGAGACACAAGUGAUAUGUUCAAGGUGAGAAUCUACUUCCCAGAUGUUUAUUAUCCAUGAACACAAGAACCAAGUUGGUGGUGUGGCUCUCUUGUCCUGUAGUGUCUGGCACAAUGGUUUCUUGGGUUUAGUUCCCUUUGAUUUCUCAUGAAUAAAAUAGCUCCAUUCUUGCCUUUGGAUCUUUGCUAUUUGACCUCUAAAGUCUUCUCUAAUUUUCCCACAACAGUAGGAAAGUAGAGAUGGCACCUAGUAGCACAUUCAUCAUGAUGCCACCCCCUGCCCAGUCUGACCAUCUCCCAUUUCUAAGCAGUCAGGACACUCUAUUCCCAGUAAUUCAGCUACCAACAAUGCUGUCUUGAUUAAGUUUUGAUUCAAGUCCUUAAGGACCUGUAUGCCAGACACUGUUGCAAGCACUUCUAGAAAGGCCUCAUGUCAUGUUGUAGAAGCCUGUAACACUUGUACUCUUUUAAUGUCAGGUAAAGAAUCUGGAGGCGUCCUGGGAAGUCUAUGGGGCCUCUAGCAGUGGAACCAGUAUUUAUCCCUACUGCACAAAUGAACUUUGGGAGCCCAUUCCCCAUGGAGAGUUACUCUCUCUGCCUAGAUACAUGGGGGAGGGCCUAGGUCCUGCCCCAAAUGAUGUGACAGACUUGGAUGAUCCCCCAUGGGAGGCCUUAUCCUCCCUGGGGAGUGGAUACAGGGUGGGAUGGGGGUUGGUGGGGAGCAUGGGAGGAUGGAAGGGAGAGGGAACUGGGAUUGAUAUGUAAAAUAAGAUUAUUUUUAAUUUAAAUAAAAAUUCAUAAAAAAAGAAUCUGGAGGCAAACUAACUAACUCUAGGUCUCCAAGCUAGUGUCACGUGAAGCUGUAGAGCAUACAAAUCAGGCCUCCUCCUGCUCUCCAGACCAUUCUCCUGGAUACCUCAGGAAGGACUUCUACUGUGACCAUGUCUGCCCUCUGUUUCCAUUUCAGACUUGUCAAGAGCAUAUAAUUGACAGGAAAAGUGGCUCCUGGGAUGAGAGCCAGCCAGAUCCUCUGGGAGCAGUGCCAUUGGCCAGGCUGGCACACAGGAACACAUGCUCCAGUCUCUCUGGACUUGACAGCUGCUUCAGCCUUUGACAUGACCUUUUGGGAUCCUUACUAACCUGCUCCAGGCAGUUGUCUUCCAUGAAUUCUUAUGAUACGGAUUUCCACACAAGGCUCCUUAUCUUUCCAUGUAAAACAAGCAUUUUUUUACUAAAUAUUUACAAUAGCAGAGAUGAAUUAUUUACUCAGUUUACAGUUUCAUCUCUGAUUUUUCUGUAUGUUUAUCUGAAUGUUGGGUGUUUCCAGUUAAUAUAUCAAAGCCACAAAAUGGAGAAACUGGGUAAUUUGCACUGAGAUCUCUGCUGUCAAAAUGGGCCAUGAAAAUACUGUUUAGAUUUCAGACUGUUUAUGUCUGGGCUGAGGGGGAGAGGUGGGCAUACAGGAGCCUCAGGAAAACAGCUUGGGUUGUGGGCGGUGUGUGCACCUAUGUGAAAGGGAACUCCAGAGAUAGUUACGGUGGUUUAAAUGAGGAUGUCCCAUGUAGACUCUUUUAUUUGAACACUUGGUCCCGCGUUGGUGGAACUCUUUGGGAAGGAUUAGGAGGUGAGGUCUUGUUGGAGGAGACGAGUCACUGGAAGUGGGCUUAGAGGUUUCAAAAGCCCAUGCCAUUCCCAAUUAUCUUUCUCAGUCUUGUGACUGAUACUCAAUACGUAAGCUCUUAGUUACCGCUCCAGUACCAUGCUUCCAUGCUCCUUACCAUGGUAGUCCUGGACUCUAACCCUCUGCAACUGUGAGCCCCAAUAAACAUUUUCUUUUAUUAGUUGCCUUAGUCACGGUAACUCUUCCCAGCAAUAGAAAAGUAAUAGAGCAUUUGGGCGGUAAGUGGAGCAUGUAAGAAGCUGCUUGUAAUAUCACAUGAUGGCAGUUUCAUAUGGCUCAACUAAAUAACACAGAGGGAAAAACUGAGGAAGGUGCCAGAGUCAGCAGACACAAUACACUAUCUGGAUGGAUGGUCCUUCCCAUCCAGUAACUCUAGAACCAGUCAAGGGAUUUGACACAACAGUGGUAAAAAGCAGCUCAGAAAUAUUUAGAGGAUUUAAGAAAUACCGGGAGAACAAAUAUAUAAAUGAGUCGCAGGAGAUUCAUUUGCUACUAAAACUAAAAUCUGAAGUCUUGUGUCACCCGUGAUCCAAUGGCCUAGGACUUCGGGGAUGGAAGUAAAAUCAAGAAAGAGAAUAGCGCUGACAAUGCAGAUGAAGUGUCUUUGAGACCAAAAAUGCCCGUGAGGGUGUGCAACUGUGGCCAUACUGUUUAUUUGAACUAUAUAUUGAGAGUCCUUCACUCCAGUAGCAGGUACGACUGUGUGUGCUGGGUUCGGGAGACAGAACAGUGCAGAUAGAAGGGCUAGUAAAAGGUGACAAUAUAAAUCCGGGUCAGUGGCACUGGCAGACAUCUCCCUGAACUUUUCACACCCUGGUGAUCAGAGAGGAGGGUAGAGAGAAGGCCUUGGAAUGUUUUUAUAUCCUAGGAUCUGGUGCCCCACCUGACCCGAUUGACAGAUAUUGAUCAAAACUGCCAGUUAGAUGCUAACUCCUCGUUCCUGAUAAUUUAACUGGAGAGGACUUCAAACUGUGAGAACAAAGAGUGCAGACAGACAGCCCCAGACUGCUCAAAAUAUCUUCCCCAGGGUCCCUGCGUAGGUAGCAGGCUGCCCUUUCCAAGAAUGUGUUUAUCAAAAAGGCAACUGGAAACUUUGCUUUCCUGAGAACUCUGUUAACUCGCAACUUGAGAUAGCUGUGCAUUGCUUCUCUUUGGAGAUGGGAGGCUAACUAUUUAUAAUACCGGCUGGGACCAUCACCUCUCCUCUGAGGCCUAAAAGUUAAGACAUAUCCAUUUGCCCCUCCAUGUCAUGAGUGGCCUUGGAUAACUCCAAAUACUUCCUUGUAGGUGCAGGCUUCUUAUCCAGAAGAAGACACAGUCUGGGAACUCCUGGAAGCAACUGCUUGGAGUUCAUAUAUAUUCCUAAUGCUUUUAAGUGUCGUCCACCACCAGGAGGAAUUUGCUUGACUUUUACUGCAAAAGCAAGCAAGACACAAGAGGACAGCAAGCAUGAGUCCUCCGUCAUGGAAUUAUCUUCCAACUAAGGCUUCAAUUGGGUCCUUCAGUUUUCUAGUACAGGGGGGAGAAUGGAUCAUACAUCUAUCCAAGUAGGAAGGUCCAGCUCUGUUCUAACCCAGUGGAUAUCCUGCCACUUCAGAUUUAAAUUCUCAGCUGGGCUCAGUGUGCUAUUAUCAAGCCUGAGUAUACGAAUUAGCAACAGGAAGAAAACAAUCUGGAAAUUGAACCCAUCCAAAUCAGCACAGGCUCACCCUGCCCUUCUGGUGCAGCCCAAAGUAAGUUCACAUGCUGGUCGGGUUCCCAUAUGUGCACUUCCUUCUUUGAGAAAAAUCCUAAACCCUCCAGAAGUCUCUCAUCUCUGCCCACAGGCACUGUUGCAGAACCAUCCCCCACCCCCCCACACACACACCCUGCUGCCACAGCCAUCCUGCCUCAGGCCCUGGAUCUGAAGGGGCCUCACACACAGCUCAUCACCUCUGAAGCACCGUGAGCAAAGUAGCCAGGCGAGAACUCCCAGCAGCUAGCUGCGGGUGAGGAGACCAAGAGUGUGGAGUUGUGAAAGUGGGGCCUCAGAUAACAGGCAGGUCAGAGCCAGUGUCUUUCUGAGGAGAGGUCAGCCUAACUCUCAUUAAAACUGCAUCUUAAAAUAGGAAGGGCAUGUGGUGGUAGAGGAGGCUCCGUGAAGAGCUGGCAUUGCCCCAGUGUGCCCUGAAGUUCCAAAGUAUAAAGUAUGAAAACUCAACUUAUCCAAAUGAGGGUUCACACUGAAAACCUCAGCUCACCUCUGACUCGGAAUUAGUUACUUUUCUAAUGCUGUGAUAAAAUACCAUUAGCGUGAUGAUCUGUAGACAAAAGAGUGUAUUUGAGUUUAUGGUUCCAGUGGGAUUAGAGUGCAUGAUGGUGGAGCAGAGGCCUGGCAGCUGCAGCUGGAAACUGAGCGGUCACAUCUUCAACCAAAGCAGGAAGUAGAGUUGUGAACUAGAAAUGGUACAAGUCCUUCAGCUCUCAAAGCCCACCUCCGGCAAUAUCUUCUAGAUGGAUGGGGAAGGGGAGGGGGUCAUUUGAUUCAAACUAUCACACACCAUUGUCUCAUCUGAGAUGAUACUUUGUACUCCAGUCUAGGGACUGAGUAUCAUUGCAAGUUGUGGGUUUUGGAGUCAACCAAACAUGACCUUGAAGUCCAACCCUGUGGCUUCCAACAUAGACCUGACCAGUUUAUUUGAUUUCCCCAAGCCUGUUUCUAUACAUGCAUGUGGUGGUUUGAAUAAGAAUGGCUCCCGUAGACUCAGCAGUGGCACAUGAGGAGGUGUGGCCUUGCUGGAGUAGGUGUGGCAUUGUUGGAGGAAGUGUGUCACUGAGGUCUUACCUGCUCAAGCUACACUCAGGAUGACACACAAUCUCCUGCUGCCUGCACAUCAAGAUGAAGAAUUCUCAGCUCUGCCCUCAUGUCGCCAUCUCCUACCAUGAUGACAAUGGACCAAACCUCUGAAACUGUAAGCCAGCCCCAGUCAAAUGUUUUCCUUUGUAAGAGUUACCAUGGUCCUGGUGUCUUUUUACAGCUAAUAAAACCCUGACUAAGCCAGUGCCAAGCAAGGAAAAUACAUUAGCAAAUUGAAGCAAGGCUGGAAAGAUGGUUCCGUUGGUAAAUGUGCCUGCCACCAACUUUGACAACCAGAGUGCAAUUCUUAGAAACCAGAAGGUGGAGAGAAUCAACUCCUCCAAGUUGCCCUUAGCCUCUUGUGCACUAUGCAGGCUCAGUAGAACACGUUCACACUUGAGUUUUCGUGUACACAUACACAAAAUGUUAACUUUUGUAACUUGAAGAAUCGGCCAGGUGUUGGUGGCACAUGACUUUAAUCCCAGCACUCACUCUGUGAGUUCAAGGCCAGCCUGGUCUACAAAUCGAGUUCUAGGAUAAGCUUCAAAGCUACAGAGAAACCCUGUCUCAAAAAACAAAACAACAAAAGAAAAGAUUGAACAUAAUCUAUGAAGAGAACUUAUGCCCAGGGGUACUGGGGUACAGUAAGACUCCAUGAGGCCAUCCUAUCUGUCACAGGAACAAGCUUCCUGGUCCAGGUCAGCCAUCUUCCUCUCUCAUCUCCAGAGCUGACUUCUAAGAUUUCUUCAUCCCCCCCCCCCAACUUCUUUUACACAACAGCAAACAUAUCUUCUUCUAAGUCAGCCUUUAGAAGUCAGGAUUAAAAUGUCAUCUAAGUGGCUGAUUGCAUAAUUGAGAGGUAGAAAGUACUUACCUAGCAUGCUUGAGGCCUGGGUUUGAUUCCUAGCAUUGAAAUAUAUAUAUAUAUACAUAUAUAUAUAUAUAUAUAUAUAUAUAUAUAUAUAUAUAUAUAUGUAUAUAUAUAUAAUUUUUUUCAACCAGGAAUAUUUUUAUUCAUUCACCCAUUCUUCAUUCUGGUUUUGAGAGUUUCCCUCUGUGGUGUAGGUUGAUCUCUCUAUGUGGUUCAGGCUGCCUGGAAACUUGAAGCAAUCCUCCUGCCUUGAUCUUCCAAAUGCUACACUGGUCAGUGUGACGCCUGGGCUCAGCCCAGGAAUAUUCAUUUUUAAGAAUAUUAUGAAGUCUGACCCUAAAAAUACAUUCUUAAAAACUUUAGGAAAUGGAAGUUUUAGCUCUUAAAAUACUUCUCAGAUACAGUAAAGGAACUCCAUGUUCAAUUAAACUUGAGUUAAAAUAACAAAAAUGAAAACUGAUUUUCUUUUUGGAGUCAACUUGGAUUGACAUAAAAUGAGUAAGAGUUGCUGGGACUAUGAGGAAAAGGAGGUAUUUAUACAAAGACCUCUGAAGCCUUGGAGCUUACAAAUUAAUCAAAGAUGAAGGAUUUAAUUUAAAAAAAAAAAAAAGCCUGUGACAUAAAGGCAGCAAAUGAAGUUAAUAGGGAAAGUAAAUUGCAAGAAACAGAAAAUACAGAAAUAGAAAGGUGUUUGAAAAAUAACUCAUUGUUAUUCCGAGGAGAGAUUUUUGUACACUGAGCAACCAAAGAAUCCAUUCUUUAAGGAAGCAUUCAAUACCAAGCUGGAGCCCUAGAAAAAUAAAACUAAUAGUAGAGAUGAACAUUUCCAUUAGACAUUUGAAAAUUUAAAAAUGAGAAAAAAAUCCAGAUUUUAAAAAACAGAAUCAUGUUAGCUGAGGAGUUCAUCAAAAUGGAUGCACCAGUGUGACUUAUCCACCACCAUCUUAGAUAGUGACAUCAUGAAAUUGGUAACAACCAUGCGAUUUCAUCACCAUCUUGGCCAAUGCAAUCAUAGAGCAUGAGUCAAAAUGGUGGCACCCAUAAAACUACUCAGUCCAACUGAACCCUAGGAGGAUCACUGUACCCCUUUUUAUAUUAGAUUAAGGAAGUAACACUAGACCUCAUGGUGUUUUGUUGAUGUUUGUUUAGGUUUUUUGUUUUGAUUUGAUUCCGAUGUGUUCUUUUACAUGACAUAUUUAUUGGUUUCUAGAGGAAACUUUUAAGUUUUUCUAACCAUGUGCCUCCAACACUAGCCAGGUAUCCAAGAGAACUGAUAGUUUGAAAUUGCUUGCCUCGGAAAGCUCAUUUGAGUUUGCAGGAGCCCAGACCUCAGUCUUGGGAAAUCACAGAUCCCAAGGGAACCAGAAGAAUCAGCUGCCAGGUGUUAGACUAGCUGCUGCCAGGGGCAGCUAACAACAGCUGGAGGCAAAGAGCCUGUUUGGGCUGGAAGCUGGAGAUGCAGCCUGUGCUGGGUCUCAAUGCCUUCUGCCUCACAUCUCCAAGCCUGUUUUUCUCUAGCUGAGAUACUUGGGACUUCUUUGCUACAUACAUGUCUACCCUUGUUUCUGCCCCACGGCACCCUGGGAACCCAUACUUUUGUUUUCACUCUCUAGUUGCUGUGGCAUAUACUAUCUACAGAAAAAGAACAUUUGGAUAUCAUCUCUUUGCACGUUAUUUCUGAUGUUCUGUGUCCUAUAAUCUCUGCACUGUGGGUACUUAAUUCAGAUUGUGUGCAGUAAAUUACUCUAUGGCUUUUCUAGCCCUAUCAGUUGAACUGAUAGAAAGCUAUCAUUAAAGGGAGGAGUUCACCCUAAAUGCUACUGUGCUUGCCUCCUAUGUAGAUAGGGAUUGACAGACUAUAAAUUUUGAGGAAAUGCUCAAAAGGAGUUUUUAAAGGAAACACUGGAAAUUUGACUCCCUAUUGUAUACAAGUGUUAAAAGUUGACUGGCUUCUUUAACAUGUAAGGUAUAUAUAUUCAUUCCAGGAGUUUUGUUGGGUGAUAGAUCCAACACAAGCAGGUUAAUGAUCAGCUAGACAACAUACAGAACAUUCAUUAAAUGUUCAAGGCAUUAAAGAGUCCCAUGGGUGGGGACAAAGAACCCUAACAGACUCUGACUUCUCUAUGAUUGCUAAUGAAGAAGAGGAUACAGGAAGCCAGGUGCACACUGGUGAAGUGAUUAACCCAGUAAGUACCCAAGAAGAGGAAUAAAAGCUAGUUUGCCAGCGAACUCUGUAAAGAAAGAAACAAAAAUGAUUCGAAUAUAUCUUCUUUUGCCUUAAAGAUGGAUAGUGUCACUAAAGACUCUCCUAGGCUUUUGUAUCCUUACCCUUCGGGAUCUUGGUCAUACACAAGCUUUAAGAAAGAAAUGUCCGGUAUUUUUCAACAUAUAGACCUGGCCUAGAUAGAAACUAGAGAACACAAGAUAGUUUCUAUAGAAAUCAAUAAUCAGAGUAUUAUAGUGUCCUACAACUUAACCUCUGUACAGAAGGAGGGUAGUUAUUGAACUUUUCAGGUUGUCUACUUCCAUCUGAAGAUGCACCCCAACGGAUUGUGAGUAUGGGCUUCCUUCCGUGCCAUGGAUCACCCCAAGUAGAGCCAUGGAGGGUCUCAGGUUAGACACUGUGAAAGGCUGAGACUGACAUCAGUUUGAUCUUCCUCAGUUUAUUGGUGUUGAGUGCUACUCACUCAUGACCUUUGAAAGUUUAAAAGUAAUUAGAAGGUGACCCUUCAAACCCAAGUGGUUUGACUCAUGUCAACCUCUGUUCACAAAGCAGGUCUCAACUAUAUCGAGGUUCUAAGGAAGACAGAGCCCCACCCAGUGAACUCUAACCAGUGUCCAUUCUACAGAGGGUCAGCAUAGAGAAAAAUGUCUUCAAUGCAUCAAGCUAAGCCAUGGUCAAGCAAGGCCUUUGACUUGUGCUCACACAGAUGGAACAACUGGUAAAAGGAAGGCUGGGGGAGCCAGAGGCUCCUGGCAAGCCCAAGUGACCCUGAGAACCAAAUACUCUGCUGGCCUUGACAAUAAAUAAGAAAAGAAUUUUGGCCACCUAUGUGGUCUUAAAAACCAGCAAGAAAGUAUAACCAAAAACUAAAAUGAUGGGUAUGCUGCUUUUUGUCUGUCUCUCUGUCUGUUUUGAACAGUCCAAGGAAUCACACUGCUGAGUCAUUAAACUUAAAACUAUGUGGAUUGGGGCUGGAGAGAUGGCUCAGAGAUUAGGAGCACUGGCUGCUCUUCCGAGGGUCCUGAGUUCAGUUCCCAGCAACCACAUGGUGGCUCACAACCAUCUGGAAUGGGAUCUUAUGUCCUCUUCUGACAUGCAAUGUACAUAUAGAUAAAAUAUCACAUACAUAAAAUAAAUAAAACUUUAAAAAAUAUUUUUAAAAACUAUAUGGAUUGAUAUUUAGAAUAUUUAUCACUAAUGAUUUUCUUCUCUAUAAGAAAAUUACUGCCCAGGUAUAAGACCUCAGAUCUUGGCUCAAUUCAGCACUGCAGUUCUUACAUGCAGUCAAAAGAGACAGGGCCACAAUUAUUUUAACCUUGUAAGACCCCCGGAAGCUCAGGCCUCCAGGAUCUCAGCCCAGGUCCAUGGUCACCCCAAUCACAAGGCAGAGGCGAAAGCUUGAUGCAAACAGCAUGAGGCUUUAUUGUUCUUUAACGAGCUAACCACAUGUUAGCUCAGGCCUUUCAUCCACCCACCAUGGCGGAUGGCUAGGAAAGACAGCUCCAAGCGUCUGCAUAGAGAUCUUAUAGGGCAGCGUAAGGGGAGUAUCUAGGGGUAUGCACAGGCUCAGGAUUGGUGUGCCUCCAGGCUUGGAGGGUUUGCCCUGUGUUGAUUGGCCAACUGGUUGUUAUGGCCCAUAGGCCCUCCCAGGGUGGUUGCUAUGCUCUGCACGUCAUUGCUGUGCGCUUGUCCGUAAAGCACACCCAGAGCCAUAAAGCAUAGCACCACCAGCUAAUUUCUGAUUGGUUCCUUGCCAUGAGGCAGGCAUCUGACCUCCUAGUGACUAAGGCAAGGUCAGAAAAGCAUGUGUUUGGCUGUUAUGGCUGCCGAAAUGGGGAGCUGGUCCCUUCAACCUAAAACUCAAGUGAUGGUUGUUAGGCCUCAAACCCAGAACAAAUGACUAACUAAGGUGCUUAUUAUCCCAGUCAAAGAUUUCCCUCCCUCCCUCCAUCUCACAGCUGGGGUCGUUUAGAUGGGCCUUCUGGAAGGGUACUCCCAAUCUGCCUCACUUAACACCCCAAACUCAGCUGGGGAAAGCCAGGUCAUUCAUCACCCCAAUCCCACAAUGGCACUGAGGGGUACAUCUUCAGUCAGAAGCUGGGAACGGGGACAAAGGUGAUGAUAAUAGGAGGUAGAAAUUGGCUAGGCAGUUUAGAAUAAGCAGAUCCCAAAGGAAAAUAACUAACUAGUUUCCCUCUUGACUAAAAGCUAAAAAUGUCCUCAGGACUUGGGGCAGCAGCAUCCUUGCCAGAGGCUGUAUAUGCCUAAGGUGGUUUGGGGAGCUCUGAUUUCUGGUCUUGUUUCUGAAGGAUUGCACAAUUACCUUUAUGGGAGGCCAGUGGUUAGAGUAGCAGUGAAGGCCGGUUAGAGAAAACCUCUGAUCAGGGGAGAAGGCCUGGGUGGAGACCCAACAUUCCAACAGGGCCAGGUCACUUUCCCAGCCAAGGGACCACCCCUAGGACCGUGGGCUCAUCUUAUGCUAAAGAAAUAGUUGAAAUAAUUAAUGCCUUGUCCUUGAUAAUUAGCUCAGGCUUAUCAAGUCAGCUAUUGUUAAACAACCCUCCCUGCCCCACUCCCAACACACACACACACACACACACACACACACACACACACACACACACACACACAGAGCAAUUCCUUAUUCCAAGACAUGACAAAGAGAGCCAAACAUCUUAAUGAGUUUGAAGAAAAGAAUGUUUAAAAAUCAGAGGAAGGAUUUGUAAGAAACAUUCACCAUGAGUCUUCUUCGGAAUACAAUAAAACAAGGACUUCAAAGGUUUUCUGUCUACCCAACCUCGUUAAGCCUUUAUGCAAAUGUCUUAAUCCCUGAACCAGCAAAACCCUUGUUUACACAAAGGCUCCUUGAAUUCAGGGAAGGUGGUGAGCUGACUGCUUUUCUUUUUCCUUCAUUUCCUGUGUGCUGAUUGCUAUCAACUAGUCCAUCUGUGAGGCCAGACUCCAGGGGCCACCUGUGUUAGAAUGAAAAGCAAGCUGGCUUCCUGUCUCGGUGUACUUCCUCUUUGGAACACACUGUCUUGAUCGAGUGUUAAGUUUUGCCUUGUCAAGACACUUCAAAAUACAUUUAAAAAUAAAUGAAUUUUAUUUCAACAGAGAAAAUGGGGGAUGGGGUGAAGCCGGAGUGGGAAAAUUAGUGGAUCCAUUUGAAAUAGAAGUUCCAUGAAGAGCAAAGAGACCGUGAAGGAACCUAUUCAAAAGAUACAGAAAACAAAAUACUGGAAUGGCUAAGGGCCAGCUUGACAGCAACAGCUCACAUCCCCCCUUCACAGGAGGACGGAGAGAAUGGGACAGACUUUGUCAUUGUCCACAGUGAGUCUCAAACUUCUGGAACAAUACCAGUUACUUCUGAGACCAAAAAAACUUUAUAGAUAUAUAAAAUUAAAUAGAAAUAUUUAAAGAGGCCAUAGAGGCAUAGCAUGGACAACACACAAAAUUUGAAGGAAAGCAAAAGCAACAAAAGAAAGUUGAUUAAGAUUCCUCAGGUCUUGAAAUCUGGAUCUGGAUCCAAAGGACAAAAAGAAUUACAGAGAUGAGAGCAAGAAAUACAACACAAAGCCAGAAGACACCAUUCAUCCAAGUUUAUGGAAAUGGCACCUUGAGAGUACAGAACUUUACAGCAGGACAUGGUGGCCCACAUGGGAAGCCAGUGCCAGCAGAUGGGGGUUUCUUUUACCAUAGAAAUGAGGAGAAUGGCAAUGUAUUAAGAUCCCAGAGAAACAGUUAGUAAUAACAAAUGCUCUCCAGGUAGUGUCCGAAUCUGCUGAGCAGCUCUGUCUUUAUCUACUGUCUCUAUCUCAUGGUUCAUUGUUCAUCUGGCUUCACUCUAAAUACACAUAGCUUUUCCAAAGGACUGAUGUGUGAUCUAAUGGCCUGUGGUCUCCAAAAGUGACAGUCUGGGAGGUGGCCACCUUUCAUUGUCCCCUGGCCCAGCAAUGUCUAGUGGUUCUACUCUGAGGAAAGUAAAAGGACAUUAAGGAGGUAGAUAGCAGAAGAUGAAAGGGGCAUUGAAGAAAGAGGCGUGGACAGCCUAGCAGAGGUGUGUCGAGCCUACACUGGGUGUGUGUGGACCUCGAAUACCUGUUUAUUUAUUUUAUGACCCCUCUUGGCUGCCUGUGUCAUAGAGCUUUGAGGACAUCUGUGCUCAGGAAUCUGUUUUGAAAGACUUCAUUCCAGGACAGAACUGCUGGAGAGAGGAUCACCAAUGAUCUUCACAAUUGCCUCACAUGAAGUUCACAGAUCAAGAGGAAACGGUGACAAGGUUGAGGAAGGGUCAUAGGUAGCAGGCACAGUGGUCCUAUGUGACACUUUGUACCUGUGUGAGAUGGGAGCCCAUAAGACAACAAUCUUCCCAAGCUCCUGAUGUUUGGAUUUUCCGUUAACUUUUAAGCCUCUCUAUCUAAGGAGCUCCCUUUAGGGAUUAAAAUUUUAUAUUUACAAGAAAAAAAAUGGAGGAGGAGAAAUCCUUGCUUGCAACUGCCUAGCAGGGAUAGAAGGGGUCGGAACUGAUGACACUUGAAGAUAUGGGAGGCAAGGAGGCGAUUUGGUUAGUGUGCCUACGAGGCCAUGUAUUAUUUCCUUCAGAUAGUCUUCCCCUCAUUCACAGCUGCUAGUGUCUCAUGUCAUAGGCACUUUUAAGGCCAAAACUGAGUGUUCUUGGUUACCCGGAUGUAGGAACUGGAAGCACUUACCAACACCCAUGAGGACAGAUAUGGAACUAAUGAGUUCAGUGCUAGCAAUGCCAUUCGGGUGAUACGACUUCCACACACAGCAUCAAGGGCCUAGAAGAACCCAUGAAUGACAUGGAGAGGAAUCGAUGGGCCAGGUCCUCCAAGAACCAGUCAGGAGGUGGAAUUCUCUCUUGAGACCUCUUCAUGCACGAUCAGACCUUGGAAAAAAGUGACCUCUUGUCAGGCCACAGCUCCAGCAAAUACCUGACCCCAAAAAGGCUUUGCUGCCUCAUACUCUCCACAAAACCAAGUGGCUCCAACUGGACACUUGGAAAGAAAACAGACUUGGAUAAUUGUGGUUAGACAAACAAUUUCAAGAUCAUUUGGCCUGUGUGUUUAGAAGGCUCAGGGGGCCUGAGGAAUGCGGUGAAUUUACAGGAAGAGGGACAAGAACACACAUUCCUCCAGAACGCCCAAUCACCAAGCUCUUGUUUAUUUUUUGGAACCAGUGAUGUCUGGAGAGAGGUCAUCCUUUCUGAGGUUGGAGAGUGAAGACAUGUUCUGAGGUUAUAGCCAGACAAGACAAAUGAGGGAUAGAAGGACAUCUAAUGUGGUUUCUAACAAAAGCUAGCUCCAGUUCAGAGGUGGGAACUGAGAACUGUCGGAGUCUACUGGAGGGCCUUGCAGGGACUCAACCCUGAGGGAGUGUAGACGGAUGCACACCUGAUGCUGGCAGUAAAGGAGCUGUGAUUUGGUGUUGCCUAAAGGUCUGCGUGGUGAAGAUGUACCAGAGGCCACCAAGGAAGGAAGGAAAGAACGAACGAAUGAAUGAACAAACGAAGGAGAGAAGGAAAAAAGAGAGAGGGGGAAGGAAGGAAUAAAGGAGAAAUGAAGGGAAAGACAGAGGGAAGAAGGAAGCAGGGAAGGAAGGGAGGAAGGAAGGAGGGAGAAAGGCAAGGAAGGAAGGAGGGAAAUAAGGAAAAAGUUGAUAAAAUGUCAUGUGGAAAACACAGCAUCUAUAACAGAACAGUCAUCCUUAUUCUGUGUCAAAAAAAAAAGAUGAAAACUUAGAAAAACAAAAUUUCAUCAGCAUUAGACUAUAAUCUAUUAGCAAGCAGUAGGCGCAUCUCUCAUUAGCAGUUUCUAAGUCAGCAGUGUACUACCUGAAGGUUUAGGACAAACAAUCCAUGGGCUGGUAGAGUAGGUUGGCUUUACAGUCAUGGAAAGCAGAAACAAAGAAUAAAGUGUUUGGUUGGUAUUUGUUUCUCUUCCUGUUGAGAAAAACAACUUAAAGGAUAAAGGGUCAAUUUUAACUCAUAGUUUAAGGCACAAUCCAUCAUGGUGGAAAAACCAAGGCAGCGGGCGCUUGAGGAAGGUGCUACACUGCAUCCACAAUCAGGGUCUGAGGAGGGUGACUUUAUGCCAGUUCUUAGCUCACUUUCUAAAUGUUAUACAGCCUGACAGCCUCUGUCCAGGGGAUGGCCCUGACCACAAUUAAGUUGGGCUCAUGCCUCAAUUCAUGUAGAUAAAAUAACACCUUUCCCACAGGUAGGCCCAAAGGCCCAUCCUCUAAGAAAAUAGAAGUGUUCAUGCCUCAAGACUAGAAGUCCCUGAUGGCCUGCUCUUGGUAUAGUCAGCUUGGAAUUGUGAUAGUUGACAAGUCAGGGCUAUGAACCAGCAGCUGCCAGCCUGGCAGCAGUGGGGUAGGACCCCAUACUUUGCUGUCCCCAUUCUUGGGUCCCAUUGAAACCUGAUUAAAAUGAAUUCACUCGUGAGUCUGGAACCUUGAAGAUGGGGUCAGAUCUUUCUGACAUGUGCAUCUGUAACAGCCAGGUGUAUGCCUACCGGUGUGGCAUAGACCUAUGAGGGCAUUAGGGACAGUAAGGCAAUCCUGAGCAAGUGGGACAGAGUCACAGAGGCACCAGGAGCAGCAGCGCUCGGCCUCACUGUGGUAGCUGGGCAGCCUGGAGGAGAGUUGGCCCUGGAAAAUCAGGCUGACGUCCAGGUCUGGACCCUCGCAGGUGCUGGCCAAGGCAUCCAGAUAGAGCCUUGAAGUUGAGCCUUUCUUCUUCCAAGUCAGGUUCUUUCUACCCAUCUCUUGCUUCUUUCCUUCUCCCUCCUACAUUUUUUUUUCGAUUUAAGCAAAACAGACCUUGAAAUUCCUUGCUUCUGGAAUGUUACUGAAAACAGCCU
rnacentral:lncRNA from 1 species